ACAGUACUCCCUCCGUCCCAAAAUUAUUGUCUUAGAUUUGUCUAGAUAUGGAUGUAUCAAGUCACAUUUUAGUAUUAGAUACAUCCAUAUCUAGACAAAUCUAAGACAAGAAAUUUGGGACAGAGGGAGUAGUUG
rnacentral:pre_miRNA from 1 species